AACAUUUCACAACACGAGCUGACGACAGCCAUGCAGCACCUGUCUCAGAGUUCCCGAAGGCACUAAGCUAUCUCUAGCGAAUUCUCUGGAUGUCAAGAGUAGGUAAGGUUCUUCGCGUUGCAUCGAAUUAAACCACAUGCUCCACCGCUUGUGCGGGCCCCCGUCAAUUCAUUUGAGUUUUAACCUUGCGGCCGUACUCCCCAGGCGGUCAACUUAAUGCGUUAGCUGCGCCACUAAAAGCUCAAGGCUUCCAACGGCUAGUUGACAUCGUUUACGGCGUGGACUACCAGGGUAUCUAAUCCUGUUUGCUCCCCACGCUUUCGCACCUCAGUGUCAGUAUUAGUCCAGGUGGUCGCCUUCGCCACUGGUGUUCCUUCCUAUAUCUACGCAUUUCACCGCUACACAGGAAAUUCCACCACCCUCUACCAUACUCUAGUCAGUCAGUUUUGAAUGCAGUUCCCAGGUUGAGCCCGGGGAUUUCACAUCCAACUUAACAAACCACCUACGCGCGCUUUACGCCCAGUAAUUCCGAUUAACGCUUGCACCCUCUGUAUUACCGCGGCUGCUGGCACAGAGUUAGCCGGUGCUUAUUCUGUCGGUAACGUCAAAACAAUCACGUAUUAGGUAACUGCCCUUCCUCCCAACUUAAAGUGCUUUACAAUCCGAAGACCUUCUUCACACACGCGGCAUGGCUGGAUCAGGCUUUCGCCCAUUGUCCAAUAUUCCCCACUGCUGCCUCCCGUAGGAGUCUGGACCGUGUCUCAGUUCCAGUGUGACUGAUCAUCCUCUCAGACCAGUUACGGAUCGUCGCCUUGGUGAGCCAUUACCCCACCAACUAGCUAAUCCGACCUAGGCUCAUCUGAUAGCGCAAGGCCCGAAGGUCCCCUGCUUUCUCCCGUAGGACGUAUGCGGUAUUAGCGUCCGUUUCCGAACGUUAUCCCCCACUACCAGGCAGAUACCUAGGCAUUACUCACCCGUCCGCCGCUCUCAAGAGAAGCAAGCUUCUCUCUACCGCUC
rnacentral:rRNA from 1 species